rnacentral:pre_miRNA from 1 species
AAUAAGUAUAAUUAUAUACUGUCUAUAUCCAACGUUUAACGAUUCGUCUUAUUUAAAAAAAUUAUGAUUAGUAUUUUUUAUUGUUAUUAGAUGAUAAAACAUAAAUAGUUCUUUAUGUGUGAUAUUUUUUAUUUUUUUAUAAUUUUUUUAAAUAAAACGAACGAUCAAAUAUUGGACAAGAUGCACUUAUU